rnacentral:lncRNA from 1 species
GAAUAACAACAACCUUUUCCUCAACAUAUUCCUAAGUUGUAAGGAAGAAAAAAACACUGGGUUUGGGAUUUCAAAACCAUUUGACAGUCAUUAUGUUGCCGUUUCAUUGUGAGUGAAAAUAUGUGGUUGUUGUCGAACAGGGCCUGAAGCAGGAGAAACAUGUAAACCAUGAGGAACUUUAUUUUGUUGCCUGUGCAAUUAUACAUUACCCAUCCAAGGAAAGUGUCACAGAAGCAAUUCACCUUCCACCAGAACAAAAUGGCAUACAUUUAAUUUAACAGGAGUCUUUAAAUUAAAUUAUUUUUUUAUUUUUUUUGCAGGUCGAUGAUGGUUACGACAGUGACAUUUAUUUAAACAAAUUUAUGGUUUAUUACAUAACAAGUACCUUGGGUGAAACAGCACGUAUUUUGGUAAGAAAUGGAGAUAUUUAUGAAGGUGUUCUAAAAGCAGUCUCCUCAAAGACACACUGGUUCUGAGUUGAAGUCUUCCCGAAGAGAGAGGUCACUUGAGACAUUUUGCUUUCACGCUGUUUCACAGAAGGAGUUGAGAAGAGGGUAUUGUGGUGAGUAAACCAGUGCUUUCUGUCUUUCAUUGACCUUUUUAUGUUUUUCUUAAGAGAUACUUUUUCACUAUGACAUGGCUUUUGAAUUACUCAUCCAUGUGGAGGACUGAAAUGCUUUAAAAGAUGCUGUCCAGUUUUAGAUCGAUCUUGGCCCCUUCUAGGACAAACUAGAUAUCCAUAUUUGCUCUCCGUGCCUUAAGACAAUUAACAUUAUAAUUAUUGAUCCUUAAUUCAUUUGGUUGUUGCGUUAAAAAUAUGGUCGGAAAGUUAAAUGCUGAUUUUAUGGCCAAUUUAUAGUUACUUUCAGUAAGAUUUAACUUCAGAAGCAGUUCCUCAAAUGUUAUACGUUCACCUUCUUUCAAGUUAUUUAAUUUUUUAAAUAGUUUUCCAGGUGUCUUUGUGUUGUUUUAUGUUGUGUCGAGGUGUAUUAUUCUUUAAAGGAUAAAGUAUUUCAGUUGCCCUUAUGGGUGGUUUUGGGUAAUUAAAUCAAAAUUUAUUCUUUGAUUUCUUUCUACAGGUAUGAGAAGGCCUGUGAAUCUGCCUGUUAACCAGCUUUUGCAGCUCCGGGUCAUUAACUGGCAACUGACAACAAAUAAUGUUAUCAAUAAACUCUGUAACAAUAGCAUCAUCAUCAACUCCAAAUACUGGUACAUUUUCUAACUACAUAAGCAUGUGAAUGUGAGGUGAACUUGGUAUUCCUCUCUGUAGAACCAGUCAGAAGUGUUUCCUAAUGCUAGUGCUUCACCAUUUUUUCUGACAUACCUGUUUCCAUAUGUAUGUUAGUUUAUUUUGGGACAUAUUCAUGCUAUGGCACCCAGGAAAAAUUAGGGAGGGUGAGGGAAAAUAACAAUGAAAUAAAGAGACAUGAAAGGAUAAAAGUGCAGAAAGAAACACCUGAUACUCCACUUUGCAUAAGAAACUAUCCUGGCAUACAGCGAAAUGUGCAAAAGUUUGCUCCAAAGUUUAAUUGAAAUUUUGCGGCCUGUUGAGUGAUAAUUUGCUAGAACAAAAGACGACAUUUCUUCAAAUUUUUUGAUAAGUUAACGAAAAAUUGCGAGCACUAACGAUAAUUCACCAGCUUAUACACAAAAUUUUGCAAGGCACUAAAUGGCAGUUCGCCAGCAUGCGUGCAAUUUUCAUGUAACUUACACAAGAUAAAUUUGGAUUCAUGUAUUUGUUUGUAAAUUCGUGCCAGAGAACACGGUAUGCAGUCAUUGAUUGCUGUAUAAGAGGAUAACGUACAGUGUUAUCUAUGACGUAUGUUACUUGAAUCUCACAUGCCAAAAAUUUGCGAAAGUUUUUCAAGCAGGUUUGUUUUCUUGAAUUCAGUUAGAAUUUGCUUAAUUACUAUUAUGAAGACAGCGAGCUCAGUUCGUUCCACAAACAAAACAGAAACAUCUCCAGUUCUGGGUAUUAAGCUGCUAAAGCAAACAGCCACAAACAACUUGUUGUCGAGAAUAUGAUUACGUAAUAAGCGUGCGACGCUGUUAAUAUUUACUUAAAACUGACAAGAGACAAAAGAAGAGAUCUUUUUUUGUACACGUGGGAUUGAGUUGAACGAGCGAGUAAUGAAAAGUGUAUAUCGAGAGUGAUUAGUGUUGAGCUUGAUGUAAG